AAACCUUUAACGGAGAGUUUGAUCCUGGCUCAGGAUGAACGCUGGCGGCAUGCCUAAUACAUGCAAGUCGUGCGGGGGUCUUCGGACCCU
rnacentral:rRNA from 1 species